GCCUGAAGCAGUAAACGAGUCAUUCCAUUUCCUUUCUUGCACUUGGCCUCUCCCGGUGCCAUGAAAGCACCAUGGGUGUGGGGAGGCAGCUGGCCCUGGAUUCCAAGUCUAUUCCUCUACAUCCGGCCGGUGACCUUGGGCAAAGGCAUUUGCCUUCCAAGAAGGGGCAGGGGCCCUUUGUAGUCUGCCCAAUGAGGGGUCCAUGGUCAGGGUUUGAGAAGAACUGAACAGGGAACGGUGAUAGAGCCAUGAGGAGGCAGCUUUCCGAAGGGGCUGCUGGAGGAGAGGACACGCCAUCUGAGACAGGAAGGAUGAGAGAAAAGGUGUCCCGGGGAAAAGAACCGGCAAGUGCAAAGGCCCUGCCCAUCUCAUCCAGCUUCCCCUCCCCCAUCCCUUUCAAACUGACCCACAAUCCAGUGGCUCUGUCCUCAGAGCCCUGAGGCACACCCGAGGACAGCAGUCAUCUGCCCAGUUAUAUGAAUUAUGUACCAGGUCAUGUCUUUUUGAAGACC